rnacentral:misc_RNA from 1 species
AAGUCGUAACAAGGUUUCCGUAGGUGAACCUGCGGAAGGAUCAUUAACACUUUUUCCAAAACUCCUUUUUUCUUUUGGCUCAAACCAAAAGAUUUAAGGUUUUAACCCCAAUUUAUUGCGAACGAUGAUUUUCCAAAAUCAUUUUUCUCUUCUUUAUCCUCUUUUUUUUUACCCCAAUUUGUAAAAAUCAAAAGCCUGAUAUAAAUCGUUUUCUCUUUUUUUUCAAAAAGAGUUUUAACGACCGAAACCUAAUGGUUAAAACAACUCUUAGCAACGGAUAUCUUGGCUCUC